rnacentral:rRNA from 1 species
UACGGAGGGUGCGAGCGUUGUCCGGAAUCACUGGGCGUAAAGGGCGCGUAGGCGGCCUGAUAAGUAGGGGGUGAAAUCCUGCGGCUUAACCGCAGGGCUGCCUUCUAAACUGUCAGGCUAGAGCACAGUAGAGGCAGGUGGAAUUCCCGGUGUAGCGGUGAAAUGCGUAGAUAUCAGGAGGAACACCUGUGGCGAAAGCGGCGCACUGGACCACAACUGACGCUGAGGCGCGAAAGCUAGGGGAGCAAACAGG